rnacentral:rRNA from 1 species
GGCGUGAUCCGAUUCGAGGACACUGCCAGGUGGGGAGUUUGACUGGGGCGGUACAUCUGUCAAAUGAUAACGCAGGUGUCCUAAGGCCAGCUCAGCGAGGACAGAAACCUCGCGUAGAGCAAAAGGGCAAAAGCUGGCUUGAUCCUGAUUUUCAGUACGAAUACGGACUGCGAAAGCACGGCCUAUCGAUCCUUUUGGCUUCGAGAGUUUCGAGCAAGAGGUGUCAGAAAAGUUACCACAGGGAUAACUGGCUUGUGGCAGCCAAGCGUUCAUAGCGACGUUGCUUUUUGAU